AUUGAACGCUGGCGGCAGGCCUAACACAUGCAAGUCGAACGAGUGGCGGACGGGUGAGUAAUGUCUGGGAAACUGCCUGAUGGCGGGGGAUAACUACUGGAAACGGUAGCUAAUACCGCAUACCAUCGGAUGUGCCCAGAUGGGAUUAGCUAGUAGGUGGGGUAACGGCUCACCUAGGCGACGAUCCCUAGCUGGUCUGAGCGGAUGACCAGCCACACUGGAACUGAGACACGGUCCAGACUCCUACGGGAGGCAGCAGUGGGGAAUAUUGCACAAUGGGCGCAAGCCUGAUGCAGCCAUGCCGCGUGUAUGAAGAAGGCCUUCGGGUUGUAAAGCACUUUCAGCGGGGAGGCGUUACCCGCAGAAGAAGCACCGGCUAACGCCGUGCCAGCAGCCGCGGUAAUUC
rnacentral:rRNA from 1 species